GCACCCUUAGCUCAGUUGGAUAGAGCAACCGCCUUCUAAGCGGUCGGUCAAAGGUUCGAGUCCUUUAGGGUGCGCCA
rnacentral:tRNA from 3 species